GACGAACGCUGGCGGCGUGCUUAACACAUGCAAGUCGAACGGAAAGGCCCUGCUCUUGUGGGGUGCUCGAGUGGCGAACGGGUGAGUAACACGUGAGUAACCUGCCCUUGACUUUGGGAUAACUUCAGGAAACUGGGGCUAAUACCGGAUAGGAGCCCCUGCUGCAUGGUGGGGGUUGGAAAGUUUCGGCGGUUGGGGAUGGACUCGCGGCUUAUCAGCUUGUUGGUGGGGUAGUGGCUUACCAAGGCUUUGACGGGUAGCCGGCCUGAGAGGGUGACCGGCCACAUUGGGACUGAGAUACGGCCCAGACUCCUACGGGAGGCAGCAGUGGGGAAUAUUGCACAAUGGGCGGAAGCCUGAUGCAGCAACGCCGCGUGCGGGAUGACGGCCUUCGGGUUGUAAACCGCUUUCGCCUGUGACGAAGCGUGAGUGACGGUAAUGGGUAAAGAAGCACCGGCUAACUACGUG
rnacentral:rRNA from 1 species